rnacentral:rRNA from 1 species
AAACAUGGCUCUUUGAGAUUUAUAUAUAAAGAGUCGGGCCUGCCCAGUGAUGUAUUUUUAACGGCCGCGGUACUCUGACCGUGCGAAGGUAGCAUAAUCAUUUGCCCUAUAAUUGAGGGCUAGUAUGAAUGGUUUGACAUGAGCAUAACUGUCUCCUUAAAAUUUUAUAAAAUUUGGUUUUUAGGUGAAGAAACCUAAAUUAAAUUGAAAGACAAGAAGACCCUAUCGAGCUUUAGAAUAAUUAGUUAAAAAAUAUAAAUAAAACAAUUAAUUUUAAUUAAAAACUUUGGUUGGGGCGACUGAGGAACAUGUAAAGCUUCCUUAAUUAAACAAUGCUGAUAAGCAAUGAUCCAGUAAAUCUGAUUAAAAAAAUUAGUUACCGUAGGGAUAACAGCAUAAUCUUUUUUGAGAGCUCUUAUCGAAAAAAAGGUUUGUGACCUCGAUGUUGGACUAGGAUAUCCUAAAGAUGUAGAAGUCUUUAAUGGUUGCUCUGUUCGAGCAUAAAAAUCCUACGUGAUCU